CAAGCCCUGGCCAAUCAAGGCGCUCUCGUGGGGCAUCACGAUACAGUUCUCCGUGAGGCAGUGGAGACUCUCCGGAACCUCUCCGCUAAUGUGCAAAGGAUCGGCACCCAGGUAGAACUGCUCACCUCACAGUCUUCUCCCCCGCAGCCCGCUGCACAGCCGACAGCCCCUCCCCCCCUCCUGCCGCACCCCUCCAUCAGCUACGAGAGGCUGUCAUUCCCACACCGGAGCGAUACGCUGGAGAUUUGGAUAUUUGUAGAGCCUUUUUAUUCCAGUGUACGUUAGUUUUUGAGCAGCAGCCUAGUACUUAUCACACAGAUGGGGCUAGGGUAGCAUAUGUAAUGAGUCUGUUGAGGGGGAGGGCUUUAGAUUGGGCUACAGCUGUUAGGGAGAGCCAGCCACACAUUUGCUGGUCAUAUGAUACUUUCAUUUCCGAAAUGAUUUUUUUUUUUGUAUCACCCGGUACGGGGGAGGGACGCUUCCAGACGCCUUCCUUCUCUCCGGCAGGGCUCCCUGUGGUGGUUGCAUUCUCCAGCCACCUUCCUUGUGUGUGUGUUUUCCCUUUCCCUGUCUGUGUGGGCGUGGUGCCUGUCACUCCUGGCUCCCGGCUCAAAUCUCCACCAGCUGCAAACAGUUGAGCACUCUCCUCUGCGACACACCUGAUUCCCAUCAGCCAUUACGGAUGGUAUAUCAGCGGAGGCUCCACAACCUGUCAGCGCCAGAUCGUUGUUAAACCCCAGUGGAUUACGCUUCAGUGAAUUACGUUCCAGUGGAUUAAAACUCCGGAGGAUACUCUUCAAUGGAUUACGCUCCAGUGGAUACUCUCCAGCCGGAUUAUCUCCUCCAAAUAAAACCUUUGUAACACAC